rnacentral:misc_RNA from 1 species
GAAGGCAACUCUUGCCCACCCCUGAGAAGUUAAACAACAAGAACAAUUGAAAUAUUUAGUUCAAUGUCACUUGCAGAUCAAACUUAGGAUUAUGCAAAUCCAGUAAAGGACAUGAAUUUUCCAAUUAAAAAAAAAAAAAGCAAUAUAACAACAACAUAUUAAUGAGAAGCACAUGCUAGAACUUAUAGGAUUAGACAUUCUCCAGCAGACAGUUCAAAACUAUAAAUUACACACCAAGCAUGUAAGUCUGGAUAUUUAUGUUUGGUGAACUUUUGAACCACAUUAAACCAGUGUGUUCUCUUAAGAAAAUGGAUCAGGUCCAACUCACUCAAAAAGCUAGCUCAAGGGAGUAAAAUGUCCAAGGCCUUAUAGGGAGUACAUUACCCCUAUCCCAAACCA